GAUGAACGCUGGCUGCGUGCUUAACACAUGCAAGUCGAACGAUGAAGCCCAGCUUGCUGGGUGGAUUAGUGGCGAACGGGUGAGUAACACGUGAGUAACCUGCCCUUAACUCUGGGAUAAGCCUGGGAAACUGGGUCUAAUACCGGAUAGGAGCGUCCACCGCAUGGUGGGUGUUGGAAAGAUUUAUCGGUUUUGGAUGGACUCGCGGCCUAUCAGCUUGUUGGUGAGGUAAUGGCUCACCAAGGCGACGACGGGUAGCCGGCCUGAGAGGGUGACCGGCCACACUGGGACUGAGACACGGCCCAGACUCCUACGGGAGGCAGCAGUGGGGAAUAUUGCACAAUGGGCGAAAGCCUGAUGCAGCGACGCCGCGUGAGGGAUGACGGCCUUCGGGUUGUAAACCUCUUUCAGUAGGGAAGAAGCGAAAGUGACGGUACCUGCAGAAGAAGCACCGGCUAACUACGUG
rnacentral:rRNA from 1 species